rnacentral:tRNA from 1 species
GCUCAGUUGGUCAGAGCGCGGGACUGUUAAUCCCGAGUUUGUUGGUUCGAUUCCGUCA